rnacentral:rRNA from 1 species
GAUGAACGCUGGCGGCGUGCCUAAUACAUGCAAGUCGAGCGAACGGACGAGAAGCUUGCUUCUCUGAUGUUAGCGGCGGACGGGUGAGUAACACGUGGAUAACCUACCUAUAAGACUGGGAUAACUUCGGGAAACCGGAGCUAAUACCGGAUAAUAUUUUGAACCGCAUGGUUCAAAAGUGAAAGACGGUCCUGCUGUCACUUAUAGAUGGAUCCGCGCUGCAUUAGCUAGUUGGUAAGGUAACGGCUUACCAAGGCAACGAUGCAUAGCCGACCUGAGAGGGUGAUCGGCCACACUGGAACUGAGACACGGUCCAGACUCCUACGGGAGGCAGCAGUAGGGAAUCUUCCGCAAUGGGCGAAAGCCUGACGGGGCAACGCCGCGUGAGUGAUGAAGGUCUUCGGAUCGUAAAACUCUGUUAUUAGGGAAGAACAUAUGUGUAAGUAACUGUGCACAUCUUGACGGUACCUAAUCAGAAAGCCACGGCUAACUACGUG